UCCCUGGUGGCUCAGAUGGUAAAGAAUCUGCCUGCAAUGCAGAAGACCUGGGUUUUAUCCCUAACUUGGGAA
rnacentral:tRNA from 1 species